rnacentral:piRNA from 1 species
UGUCAACACCAGCACCGGCCUCGGUUU